CGGGACGGGUGAGUAACGCGUGGGUAACCUGCCUCAUACAGGGGGAUAACAGUUAGAAAUGACUGCUAAUACCGCAUAAGCGCACAGUGCUGCAUGGCACAGUGUGAAAAACUCCGGUGGUAUGAGAUGGACCCGCGUCUGAUUAGCUAGUUGGUGGGGUAACGGCCUACCUAGUCUUCGAUGGAUAGGGGUUCUGAGAGGAAGGUCCCCCACAUCGGAACUGAGACACGGUCCAA
rnacentral:rRNA from 1 species